rnacentral:rRNA from 1 species
UACGUAGGGGCUAGCGUUAUCCGGAAUUACUGGGCGUAAAGGGUGCGUAGGUGGUUUCUUAAGUCAGAGGUGAAAGGCUACGGCUCAACCGUAGUAAGCCUUUGAAACUGAGAAACUUGAGUGCAGGAGAGGAGAGUAGAAUUCCUAGUGUAGCGGUGAAAUGCGUAGAUAUUAGGAGGAAUACCAGUUGCGAAGGCGGCUCUCUGGACUGUAACUGACACUGAGGCACGAAAGCGUGGGAGCAAACAGGAUUAGAUACCCCCGUAGUCCCUGAG